AUUGAACGCUGGCGGCAUGUCUUACACAUGCAAGUCGAACGGCAGCACGGGUGCUUGCACCUGGUGGCGAGUGGCGAACGGGUGAGUAAUACAUCGGAACAUGUCCUGUAGUGGGGGAUAGCCCGGCGAAAGCCGGAUUAAUACCGCAUACGAUCUACGGAUGAAAGCGGGGGACCUUCGGGCCUCGCGCUAUAGGGUUGGCCGAUGGCUGAUUAGCUAGUUGGUGGGGUAAAGGCCUACCAAGGCGACGAUCAGUAGCUGGUCUGAGAGGACGACCAGCCACACUGGGACUGAGACACGGCCCAGACUCCUACGGGAGGCAGCAGUGGGGAAUUUUGGACAAUGGGCGAAAGCCUGAUCCAGCAAUGCCGCGUGUGUGAAGAAGGCCUUCGGGUUGUAAAGCACUUUUGUCCGGAAAGAAAUCCUUGGCUCUAAUACAGUCGGGGGAUGACGGUACCGGAAGAAUAAGCACCGGCUAACUACGUG
rnacentral:rRNA from 1 species